UACGAAGGGGGCUAGCGUUGCUCGGAAUCACUGGGCGUAAAGCGCACGUAGGCGGGUUCUUAAGUCAGGGGUGAAAUCCUGGAGCUCAACUCCAGAACUGCCUUUGAUACUGGGAAUCUCGAGUUCGGGAGAGGUGAGUGGAACUGCGAGUGUAGAGGUGAAAUUCGCAGAUAUUCGCAAGAACACCAGUGGCGAAGGCGGCUCACUGGCCCGGUACUGACGCUGAGGUGCGAAAGCGUGGGGAGCAAACAGG
rnacentral:rRNA from 1 species